AGAGGAUCCUCUAAUGUUUAACAAAUGACAAGCUAGCCCAGGGGAAAGACUGCCUGACAGUGGCUUUGCCACCCAUGAACACAUCCUAGUCCCUCCCCUUUGUGAAAUUCAGCCCAUUCCAACAGGUUCUGUCCCGAAGCUUCUCUUUCAGGGUCAGCCUGAUUCUAGGGCAGCAGUUCUCAACCUGGAGUCACAUAUCAUCUAUCCUGUAUAUCAAAUAUUCACAUCAUGACUCAUAACAGUAACACAAUUACAGGCAUGAUGUAGCAAUGAAAUGAUUUUAUGGUUGAGGGUCACCACCACAUGAGGCCACCACACUGUUCUGGGGGAACAGUGGAGAGAGGAAAGGAUUGAGGAAGCCUUCCAUCUGUUCUGCACUCUUCAAAGGGAUGUAUUCACAGAAAGCCUUUGGUCGGUUUUGUUGGGGCUCUUAGUAAAUCUGAGCAGAAACUGCACCAGGAAAUUUUAUCUGGUUUUGUGAUUUUCUGCUUCUCCUGGGUGGAACCAAGACUGGACUCCAUUGUCUAGCCCUGCAUCUGCAGCUAGUUGCCUAAUGGAAACCAGAAGGCCAACAGUUGUCCUUCGAUAGUGUCUCAGGACAGCCAGGACAGAGCACUAGGAGAGGAGAACCCACGAAGGAUAUCAGUGUGCUGGUUUCCAGGGCAAUGUCUCAUUCCGAAGGUUCUAGAAACACAGUUUACUGGAUGAAGAGCUGAAGUGGGGUGGGGUAAGAAUAACAACCACGUUCACUGAAGGGUGAGGGAGGACGGACAGACAUACGAUGGCCAGCAUACAAACAUAACACCCUAAUUAAUGCUUCCCUCUGCUACUGACACUCUCCCUUCACUCUUCUUUCAUAAAAUAAACAAACAAACAAAAAAAUCA
rnacentral:lncRNA from 1 species